GGCAAUGUGGCCGAGUGGUCUAAGGCGCUGGAAUUAGGCGAGGUUAUACCUUCCAUAGUUAUAUCCAGUCCGAAAGGGCGCGAGUUCGAACCUCGCCGUUGUCA